GACGAACGCUGGCGGCGUGCUUAACACAUGCAAGUCGAACGGAAAGGCCCUGCUUUUGUGGGUUGCUCGAGUGGCGAACGGGUGAGUAACACGUGAGUAACCUGCCCUUGACUUUGGGAUAACUUCAGGAAACUGGGGCUCAUACCGGAUAGGAGCUCCUGCUGCAUGGUGUGGGUUGGAAAGUUUCGGCGGUUGGGGAUGGACUCGCGGCUUAUCAGCUUGUUGGUGGGGUAGUGGCUUACCAAGGCUUUGACGGGUAGCCGGCCUGAGCGGGUGACCGGCCACAUUGGGACUGAGAGACGGCCCAGACUCCUACGGGAGGCAGCAGGGGGGAAUAUUGAACAAUGGGCGGAAGCCUGAUGCAGCAACGCCGCGUGCGGGAUGACGGCCUUAGGGUUGUAAACCGAUUUCGCCUGUGACGAAGCGUGAGUGACGGUAAUGGGUAAAGAAGCACCGGCUAACUACGUG
rnacentral:rRNA from 1 species